UGUUUAUUUGAUCUUGAAAUCCUACUUGGAUAACUGUGGUAAUUCUAGAGCUAAUACAAGCAGAAAAGCUCCAACCUUACGGAAGGAGUGCAUUUAUUAGUACAAAACCAAUCGGGUGCAAACCCGUUGUUUGGUGAAUCUGAAUAACUUAGCCGAUCGCACGGUCCUCGAACCGGCGACAUAUCAUUCAAGUGUCUGCCCUAUCAACUUUCGAUGGUAGUUUAUAUGACUACCAUGGUUGUAACGGGUAACGGAGAAUAAGGGUUCGUCUCCGGAGAAGCAGCCUGAGAAACGGCUACUACAUCUAAGGAAGGCAGCAGGCGCGCAAAUUACCCACUCUCGGCACGAGGAGGUAGUGACGAAAAAUAACGAGGCGGUGUCGCUUUGCGGCCCGCUAUCGGAAUGAGAACAAUUCAAAACCUUUAACGAGGAUCUAGCAGUGGGCAAGUCUGGUGCCAGCAGCCGCGGUAAUUCCAGCACUGCUAGUGUAUACCACGAGUACUGCGGUUAAAAAGCUCGUAGUUGGAUCUGCGGCAUUGAUCUUCAGUCCUCCUUAUGGGUGCGAACUGACAAAUCAUGCCUAGUUUGUUGGUUUUCCAUUAAUGCUCUUAAUUGAGUGUUAGUGGUGGCUGGCGAUUUUACUUUGAAAAAAUUGGAGUGCUCAGAACAGGCGCUUGCCUGAACAUUUGUGCAUGGAAUAAUGGAAUAGGAUCUCGGUUCUAUUUUGUUGGUUUUAAGGAUUGAGAUAAUGAUUAAGAGGGACAGACGGGGGCAUUCAUAUUGCGACGUUAGAGGUGAAAUUCUUGGAUCGUCGCAAGAUGGACAACUGCGAAAGCAUUUGCCAAGAAUGUUUUCAUUAAUCAAGAACGAAAGUUAGAGGUUCGAAGGCGAUCAGAUACCGCCCUAGUUCUAACUGUAAACGAUGCCAACUAGCGAUCCGUCGGCGUUAGUUUCGACCCGUCGGGCAGCUUCCCGGAAACGAAAGUCUUCCGGUUCCGUGGGAAGUAUGGUUGCAAAGCUGAAACUUAAAGGAAUUGACGGAAGGGCACCACCAGGAGUGGAGCCUGCGGCUUAAUUUGACUCAACACGGGAAAACUCACCAGGUCAGAACACCGUAAGGAUUGACAGAUUGAUAGCUCUUUCUUGAUUCGGUGGGUGGUGGUGCAUGGCCGUUCUUAGUUGGUGGAGUGAUUUGUCUGGUUUAUUCCGAUAACGAACGAGACUCUAGCCUGCUAAAUAGCGAAUGGAUAUUUGAGUCCAUAGC
rnacentral:rRNA from 1 species